GGCCUGACCACUCAUUCACUGAGCAGCGGAUUUCUACUCCGCAGGUUGCAGGUUCGAAUCCUGCCGGGAUCGCCA
rnacentral:tRNA from 1 species